UUGCUCCUACGGGGGGCAGCAGUGAGGAAUAUUGGUCAAUGGGCGGAAGCCUGAACCAGCCAAGUCGCGUGAGGGAAGAAGGCCCUGCGGGUCGCAGACCUCUUUGGACGGGGAGCAAGGCCGCCGACGUGUCGGCGGAAGGAGAGUACCCGUAGAACAAGCAUCGGCUAACUCCGUGCCAGCAGCCGCGGCAAUACGGAGGAUGCGAGCGUUAUCCGGAUUUAUUGGGUUUAAAGGGAGCGUAGAUGGGCUGUUAAGUCAGUUGUGACAGUUUGCGAUUCAACCGUAAAAUUGCAAUGGAUACU
rnacentral:rRNA from 1 species